GACGAACGCUGGCGGCGUGCCUAAUACAUGCAAGUCGAACGCUGAAGGAGGAGCUUGCUUCUCUGGAUGAGUUGCGAACGGGUGAGUAACGCGUAGGUAACCUGCCUGGUAGCGGGGGAUAACUAUUGGAAACGAUAGCUAAUACCGCAUAAGAGUAGAUGUUGCAUGACAUUUGCUUAAAAGGUGCAAUUGCAUCACUACCAGAUGGACCUGCGUUGUAUUAGCUAGUUGGUGGGGUAACGGCUCACCAAGGCGACGAUACAUAGCCGACCUGAGAGGGUGAUCGGCCACACUGGGACUGAGACACGGCCCAGACUCCUACGGGAGGCAGCAGUAGGGAAUCUUCGGCAAUGGACGGAAGUCUGACCGAGCAACGCCGCGUGAGUGAAGAAGGGUUUCGGAUCGUAAAGCUCGGUUGUAAGAGAAGAACGAGUGUGAGAGUGGAAAGUUCACACUGUGACGGUAUCUUACCAGAAAGGGACGGCUAACUACGUG
rnacentral:rRNA from 1 species